AGAGCAAGACUCUGCCUCAAAAAAAAAAAAAAAAAAAAAGAAAAAAAGUGGAAGAACAAUGAAGGAGUAGUCAGCUUGGAGAGGCUUCUAUGGCAAAACUGAGGAUAAUUUGAACAUCAUGAAAAAGAAUACUUGUAAUUGAUUAUGGAACAACCAUAACACUGAAUAAAUAAAAAUCUAUUAUGACACAA